rnacentral:tRNA from 1 species
AGCUCAGUUGGUUAGAGCACCACCUUGACAUGGUGGGGGUCGGUGGUUCGAAUCCACUC